rnacentral:rRNA from 1 species
CUGACUGACCGAUAGUGAACCAGUACCGUGAGGGAAAGGCGAAAAGAACCCCGGCGAGGGGAGUGAAAAAGAACCUGAAACCGUGUACGUACAAGCAGUGGGAGCACGCUUAGGCGUGUGACUGCGUACCUUUUGUAUAAUGGGUCAGCGACUUAUAUUCUGUAGCAAGGUUAACCGAAUAGGGGAGCCGAAGGGAAACCGAGUCUUAACUGGGCGUUAAGUU